rnacentral:rRNA from 1 species
UACGGAGGGUCCAAGCGUUAUCCGGAAUCAUUGGGUUUAAAGGGUCCGUAGGCGGUCUUGUAAGUCAGUGGUGAAAGCCCAUCGCUCAACGGUGGAACGGCCAUUGAUACUGCAAGACUUGAAUUAUUGGGAAGCAACUAGAAUAUGUAGUGUAGCGGUGAAAUGCUUAGAGAUUACAUGGAAUACCAAUUGCGAAGGCAGCUCGCUGGGACGUUACUGACACUGAGGCGCGAAAGCGUGGGGAGCGAACGGGG